CCUACGGGAGGCAGCAGUGGGGAAUAUUGCACAAUGGGCGAAAGCCUGAUGCAGCAACGCAGCGUGAGCGAUGAAGGCCUUCGGGUCGUAAAGCUCUGUCCUCAAGGAAGAAAAUGACGGUACUUGAGGCGGAAUCCCCGGCUAACUUCGUGCCAGCAGCCCCGGUAAUAAGGGGGAUGCAAGCGUUAUCCGGAUUUAUCGGGUUUAAAGGGUGCGUAGGCUGUGAGGUAAGUCAGCGGUGAAAUGCCUCCGCUCAACGGGGUGAAGUGCCAUUGGUACUGCCUUGCUGGAAUGCGGAUGCCGUGGGAGGAAUGUGUGGUGUAGCGGUGAAAUGCAUAGAUAUCACACAGAACACCGAUUGCGAAGGCAUCUCACGAAUCCGCGAUUGACGCUGAUGCACGAAAGCGUGGGUAUCAAACAGGAUUAGAUACCCGGGUAGUC
rnacentral:rRNA from 1 species